AGUGAACGCUGGCGGUAGGCCUAACACAUGCAAGUCGAACGGCAGCACAGUAAGAGCUUGCUCUUACGGGUGGCGAGUGGCGGACGGGUGAGGAAUACAUCGGAAUCUACUUUUUCGUGGGGGAUAACGUAGGGAAACUUACGCUAAUACCGCAUACGACCUACGGGUGAAAGCAGUGGAUCUUCGGACCUUGCGCGAUUGAAUGAGCCGAUGUCGGAUUAGCUAGUUGGCGGGGUAAAGGCCCACCAAGGCGACGAUCCGUAGCUGGUCUGAGAGGAUGAUCAGCCACACUGGAACUGAGACACGGUCCAGACUCCUACGGGAGGCAGCAGUAGGGAAUAUUGGACAAUGGGCGCAAGCCUGAUCCAGCAAUACCGCGUGGGUGAAGAAGGCCUUCGGGUUGUAAAGCCCUUUUGUUGGGAAAGAAAAGCAGCAGGUUAAUACCCGGCUGUUCUGACGGUACCCAAAGAAUAAGCACCGGCUAACUUCGUG
rnacentral:rRNA from 1 species